AAUCAACGCUGGCGGCGUGCCUCAGACAUGCAAGUCGAACGAUUAAGACUUCCUUCGGGAAGUGCAUAAAGUGGCGCACGGGUGAGUAACACGCAAGUAAUCUACCCUCGAGUGGGGAAUAACGUUCGGAAACGGACGCUAAUACCGCAUAACGCAGCGGCACCGCAAGGUGACAGUUGUUAAAGGAGCAUCCCGCUUGAGGAGGAGCUUGCGGCAGAUUAGCUAGUUGGUAGGGUAAUGGCUUACCAAGGCUACGAUCUGUAUCCGGUCUAAGAGGACGGUCGGACACACUGACACUGAAUAACGGGUCAGACUCCUACGGGAGGCAGCAGUCGGGAAUUUUGGGCAAUGGGCGAAAGCCUGACCCAGCAACGCCGCGUGAAGGAUGAAGUAUUUCGGUAUGUAAACUUCGAAAGAAUAGGAAGAAUAAAUGACGGUACUAUUUAUAAGCUCCGGCUAACUACGUGCCAGCAGCCGCGGUAAUACGUAGGGAGCAAGCGUUGUUCGGAUUUACUGGGCGUAAAGGGCGCGUAGGCGGCGCGGUAAGUCACUUGUGAAAUCUCUGAGCUUAACUCAGAACGGCCAAGUGAUACUGCAGUGCUAGAGUGCAGAAAGGGCAAUCGGAAUUCUUGGUGUAGCGGUGAAAUGCGUAGAUAUCAAGAGGAACACCUGAGGCGAAGGCGGGUUGCUAGGCUGACACUGACGCUGAGGCGCGAAAGCCAGGGGAGCAAACGGGAUUAGAUACCCCGG
rnacentral:rRNA from 1 species